GGCACCUGUACACGUUGCGGUGCAACAAUGGUGAAGGA
rfam:Sporanaerobacter sp. PP17-6a isolate PP176A genome assembly, contig: PP17-6a_contig16